rnacentral:lncRNA from 10 species
GAAGAAGGUGCCUUGCUGCUGCCAUUAUUGUAAGUUUCCUGAGGCCUCCUCAGCCAUGCUGAACUGAUGUGGAGCUGAGAAGCCCCGAUUUCCACUUUCUGACUCCUAGACUCAGCUGAUUUGAACCCCUCAGUGGAAUAGCAGCAGCCCAUCCGCAGCUUUCCUAGAAGUUCCUGACCUAGUAGCCUGAAAUGCAUUCUAAUCAAGUGAGACAAGGCUGUGGCUGGAAGACUCCCCGUGAGCCAGGGAAUUGAAGCUGCCUCUGCAAGCUGAAUUCGUAAUUGCCAUGAGAAGGCAACAGCAUCAAAUCCUCCAGCGUGCCAAUUCUUUAGGCGACGGACGAAUUGACAACUCCUCACCUUACAUAGGCACCAACUGACUGUUGGUCUUUGCCCAGCUCUGGGUAACUUGGAUUCAUCAUAUGCUUUUUCUCCUGGACAAUCAGUCAACACAAUUAUUCAGUACCUCAUCUGUAAACUGCACUGUGUCAUCGCUGUGGUUAGUGCUAAAGAAAUGUGAAGUAUGUCCUUUGUUCUCAAGGAUCUUAUGAAAUACCUGGGCAAACAAAACUAACAACCUGAAUUAUGUUGUAUCAUACUACUGUUAAAAUCCUUCAAUGGCUCUCUAUUAUAAUUAGCAUACUGUGUUCAAUAAGGCUUCUUUCAUUCCCC